UACGUAGGGGGCAAGCGUUGUCCGGAAUUAUUGGGCGUAAAGAGCGCGUAGGCGGUCCGAUAAGUCGACUGUGAAAGUCUAGGGCUCAACCCUGGAAAGCCGGUCGAUACUGGCGGACUAGAGUCCGGAAGAGGCAAGUGGAAAUUCCCGGUGUAGCGGUGAAAUGCGCAGAUAUCGGGAGGAACACCUAUGGCGAAGGCAGCUCGCUGGGACGUUACUGACGCUGAGACGCGAAAGCGUGGGGAGCAAACAGG
rnacentral:rRNA from 1 species